rnacentral:rRNA from 1 species
GACGAACGCUGGCGGCGUGCUUAACACAUGCAAGUCGAACGGAAAGGCCCUGCUUUUGUGGGGUGCUCGAGUGGCGAACGGGUGAGUAACACGUGAGUAACCUGCCCUUGACUUUGGGAUAACUUCAGGGAACUGGGGCUAAUACCGGAUAGGAGCUCCUGCUGCAUGGUGGGGGUUGGAAAGUUUCGGCGGUUGGGGCUGGACUCGCGGCUUAUCAGCUUGUUGGUGGGGUAGUGGCUUACCAAGGCUUUGACGGGUAGCCGGCCUGAGAGGGUGACCGGCCACAUUGGGACUGAGAUACGGCCCAGACUCCUACGGGAGGCAGCAGUGGGGAAUAUUGCACAAUGGGCGGAAGCCUGAUGCAGCAACGCCGCGUGCGGGAUGACGGCCUUCGGGUUGUAAACCGCUUUCGCCUGUGACGAAGCGUGAGUGACGGUAAUGGGUAAAGAAGCACCGGCUAACUACGUG